rnacentral:lncRNA from 1 species
UCCACAUUAUUAGUUCAACAUCUCCAUGUCCAUGACUUGUGAAACAUAGUCAUCAACUAAUACAUGUGCUAGUCUAAUAUUCAUGUGUGUCCUCACAUGAACUCCGACUAGGGACAACUUUAGAAUAACCAUACAAGUAAAGAGUUUCACACACAAUUCACAUAAUUGCAAAUCAAUUCAAGUAGCCUUUUAAUGGAUAUUCAAUGAACACAAUAUACAAAUCAUGGAUACAAAUGGAAUAUCAUCAUCUCUAUGAUUGCCUCUAGGGCAUACCUCCAACAGUCUCCCAC